AUUGAACGAUGGCGGCAGGCCUAACACAUGCAAGUCGAGCGAGCGGCGGACGGGUGAGUAAUGUAUGGGGACUGCCCGAUAGAGGGGGAUAACUACUGGAAACAGUUGCUAAUACCGCAUACUAUCGGAUAACCCAUAUGGGAUUAGCUAGUAGGUGGGGUAAAGGCUCACCUAGGCGACGAUCUCUCGCUGGUCUGAGAGGAUGAUCAGCCACACUGGGACUGAGACACGGCCCAGACUCCUACGGAGGCAGCAGUGGGGAAUAUUCCGCAAUGGGCGAAAGCCUGAUGCAGCCAUGCCGCGUGUAUGAAGAAGGCCUUAGGGUUGUAAAGUACUUUCGGCGGGGAGGCGUUACCCGCAGAAGAAGCCCCGGCUAACUCCGUGCCAGCCGCCGCGGUAAUUC
rnacentral:rRNA from 1 species